GACGAACGCUGGCGGCGUGCCUAAUACAUGCAAGUCGAACGGUCUUUUCUAUGGAAGCUUGCUUCCGCUGAGAAGGUAGUGGCGAACGGGUGAGUAACACGUGGGUAACCUGCCAACAAGAGGGGGAUAACAUCCGGAAACGGGUGCUAAUACCGAAUAGUUUUCUUGAUCGCAUGAUCGAGAAAGGAAAGACGGCCUUUGUGCGGUUGCUAAUGGAUGGACCCGCGGCGUAUUAGUUAGUUGGUGAGGUAACGGCUCACCAAGACGAUGAUACGUAGCCGACCUGAGAGGGUGAUCGGCCACAUUGGGACUGAGACACGGCCCAAACUCCUACGGGAGGCAGCAGUAGGGAAUCUUCCGCAAUGGACGAAAGUCUGACGGAGCAACGCCGCGUGAGUGAAGAAGGUUUUCGGAUCGUAAAACUCUGUUGUCAGAGAAGAACAAGUCGGAGAGUAACUGCUCCGGCCUUGACGGUAUCUGACCAGAAAGCCACGGCUAACUACGUGCCAGCAGCCGCAGUAAUAC
rnacentral:rRNA from 1 species